GGCGAACGCUAGCGGCGCGCCUAACCCAUGCAAGUCGUGCGGGAAAGGGAGGUUUUCCUCCCAAGUACCGCGGCAGACGGGUGAGUAACACGUGAGUAACCUGUCCCCGGGUCUGGGAUAACCAUCCGAAAGGAUGGCUAAUACCGGAUAAAGUCACCGGGCGCAAGCUCGGUGAUGAAAGGGGGCCUCUGCAUAGCAAGCUCCUGCCUGGGGAGGGGCUCGCGGCCCAUCAGCUAGUUGGUGGGGUAACGGCCCACCAAGGCGAUGACGGGUAGCCGGCCUGAGAGGGUGGUCGGCCACACGGGCACUGAGACACGGGCCCGACUCCUACGGGAGGCAGCAGGGGGGAAUCUUGGGCAAUGGGCGAAAGCCUGACCCAGCGACGCCGCGUGGGGGAAGAAGGCCUUCGGGUCGUAAACCCCUGUUCUGGGGGAAGAACCCUGGGUAGGUGAAUAGCCUAUCCAGGCUGACGGUACCCCAGGAGAAAGCCACAGCUAACUGCGUGCCAGCAGCCGCGGUAAUACGCAGGUGGCGAGCGUUGCCCGGAAUCACUGGGCGUAAAGGGUGCGUAGGCGGCUGGACAAGUCGCAGGUUAAAGCCCGGGGCUCAACCCCGGAAGGCCUGCGAUACUGUCUGGCUUGAGGGCCGGAGAGGCUGGCGGAAUUCCCGGUGUAGGGGUGAAAUCCGUAGAUAUCGGGAGGAACACCGGUGGGGAAGCCGGCCAGCUGGACGGUCCCUGACGCUGAGGCACGAAAGCGUGGGGAGC
rnacentral:rRNA from 1 species